rnacentral:lncRNA from 1 species
CGAGUAAGUCUUACAAGACCUGACGGUAUUAUAAGAGGGAGUUUUCCUGCCCAAUCUCUCUUUGCCUGCUGCCAUCCACAUAAGACAUGAUUUACUCCUCCUUGCCUUCUGCCAUGAUUUUGAGGCCUCCCCAGCCAUGUGGGACUACAGGGUCUCACUUUGUCACCCAGCCUGGAGUCUAGUAGUGUGAUGAUAGCUCACUGCAGCCUAGACCUGUCCAGGCUCAAGCAGUCCUCCCACCUCAGCCCCAUGGAGUAGAUGGGAUUACAGCAAAUAGAAGUCAUUUACACCAGAUGAGCGACAGGCUGUGGAGAAUUGGCAUACCUACAGCACAGGAUACACAGCACCACGCACCUAUUUCAAGGGAAUGAAGAGUGGGUGGCCGGAAGAAAGAAACUCUUUUCCCCAUUUAACCUGUAAUUUGACAACAUCUGUGAAGAAUUAUCCCCAGCAUUGGCAUCAUAAUUGUUGUAUCUACCAUCAAUCACCAGAGAGGGGAGACGACUUGAAAUAGAUGUUAACGGCAUUAUAGCUUAACAAUGUGAAAGCAAAAAAAAAUGAGAGGAAUGAGAGCUGUGAGACAGUGCACAAAUUCAUCAGGAGAUUUGAAAGACACUAUAUUGUUUAGUACAAAAUGAAAACAAUCUUUGCUUAUAUAAGAAAAGCUUAAAUUCUAGAGACCAUCAUCUAUUCUGUAUUCUAGGUGUUAAAAAUUCAAGUAUUAAGUUUCAUAUGAUAGAGAAUCGGUGGUUUAUAUAUUUUCUUUCAUUAUUGCUUCAGUAUGAAAAGCAAUAUAAAUAUGAACAUUUUAUACAGAAGUUGAAAAAUAAAUGAAACCACUUCCAUACGAAUAUUAUUAAUAUAAUGAUAUACUCACAUUAUUCCAGGAACCUGAACUCUCAGCAAGAAUGAACGUAUAGAACCAUCUCAAAUUUAGCGGCUAAGGACUAGGUAAUGCCUAUUUACUUGCACCUAAUAUAUUGAGAAAAUGUUUUUUGGCUUAUUGGAUUACUGACAUUCAGCCAAAUACUUCUUCAAGAUUGGUUGCCUAGAUAUAGGAUUUAAAGAAUAUACUGCAUAUUACAGUGAAAAAAAAUUCUUCUCAAAACAUUUUCUUCACUGUCUUCCAAGACAUAACACUUUCCUGGUUUUUCUCCUACCUCUCAGCCUGGCUCUUUCUUAGUUCUGUUUCUUGUUUUUCUACAUCCUCAGAAUUUUUUAAUGUAAUAAGGCACCUAAACAUAUAUAUCAGCUUAGACCUCUCCCUCAAAGUCUAGGCUGAUGUAUUCAGCUCCUGAUAUUAUCACCUGCAAUUUGGUAUCUAAGAGUAAUGUCAAACUUAACAUGCCAAAACCGAGCUCCUGGUCUUGUCUCAAUACCAAAUUUUCCCCUUUCGCAAUCUCCUCAAUCUCAGGGAAUGGCAUCGCUACCCUUUAAGUACCUCAAUCCAAAAGAUUUGGAGUCAUUCCUGACUCUUUUUCACUCACACUCUGCAAAAUAUUCUGGCCACUCUCUCCCUCCAGAAUACCUACAGAAUCUGACAAAUUUUCACAAAUUCUACAGCUACAGUCAUCUUCUCCCGAUUAUCUCUGCUUGAAUUAUUACACUAGCCUGAUCUUCCAACUCCUACCCUUGCCUUUCUAGUCUAUUCUGUUCUUAGCACAAUGAGAAGAGUGAUUCUUUUACAACAAAAUCAGAUCAUGUUACCCCUCUGCUCAAAAUGACUUCUUAUCUCACUAAAAGUUAAAGCCAAGGUCCUUACAAUGGCUUAAAAGACACUAUGCUCUAAAGGAUCUGGUUCCUCUUACCUCUUUCACAUUGACUCCUACUAUACAUCAUACUCUCUUCCAUCUCUCCCCCACUCCACUCUUUACUAUUCUUUGAACACUCACCAAAGGUUUUUACACUGGCUAUACUGUCUUCCUGGGGCACUCUUCCUCUUGAUAUUUGCAUGGAUUAUUCUCACCUCCUUCAGGUCUAUACAGACAUGGUACAUUCUUUGGGUAACAUGCUCACCAUCUAAAAUUUCAUUAUGCUAACUUUCACUAUGCCUUUAUCCACUUUUUUUUUUUUUUGAGAUAGUCUUGCUCUGUUGCCCAGGCUGGGAUUACAGGCACCUGCCACCACACCCAACUAAGUUUGUAUUUUUAGUAGAGACGGGGUUUCACCAGGUUGACCAGGCUGGUCUUGAACUCCUGGCCUCAAGUGAUCUGCCCACCUCAGCCUCUCAAAGUGCUGCAAUUACAGGUGAGCCACCAUGCCCGGCCUCUACUUUCUUAUUAUAGAACUCAUUAUCACAGAAUCAUGUUUUAUACUUAAUUUAUGUUAUUUACUAUCUGUUUCUCUUCAUUUUGCUAUAACUUGUCAUAUUUUAGAGCUACAUGGUUGACAUGGGCCUAGAAAAUUGGAUUAAAACUAUUAAAGCUGGAUAAUUAUGUGAUUUCUCAUAGUCAAAAUAGUGGACACUAUUCCUUCAUCACUAUUUUGAAAAACGAGGGAAAAGAGGACCACCAAGUCCUCGAGGACAUGCAACGUACAAUUUUGUACUUAUAUGUAUGUUCCUAGAUGUGGAUGGAAGUCAAUAACUAUGGAUGGGGGUAGUCUUUUCUUCCUAGCCUCUGUUUAUAUCAUUCUGUCUAUGGGAAUAUGCUUUCAUGAUUAGUGCCUUUGGUGGAAUAACAGUGUAGUUAUUCCUUUACUUCUUCAAUCAAUGUCAUAGACAACAUUUCUUAACAUAAGAAUGAUCAUUCAAACUCUUUUAUAAUGACUUAAUGCAAUUUAAGAGUUAAUUUAUUUGGGUCAUAUUUAGUAGAUAAAAUGUUUUAGGCUAAUGAUUUUGGGGUACACCACUCACAUCUCUCUCCUUACUUCAAGACUUUGUACUCAUUUCCCAGGAUGCCAGGAGUGUUGGCUGCUGUUGGCUCAAAGCUGAAACCCUUCCUGAGAAUUAUCCUAGGUCAGGAGGCUGCCCUAUUCACAUGUAUGUCUUAUUCUCAAGAGCCACUGACAGCCAAUGACUAGGCAAUGAAGUCCUUGGCCAGAACCUACUGAAGGCUCUCAAAAUAGGAGGUCCAUAGACACAGAGUCCCAUAUAACAUUACAUCAGACCAAGGUCAUGGGAUUAGCCAAUCAAUCACAUACUGUAACCCAGAAACUGUCUGCCUGUAAGAAUAAUGAAAUAGUCUCCUGCAGGUACAGAUGAAGACCAGUCUGGUGAUAAUAAUGUAAAGAAUGGGGCACCAUACUAUAUUCGAAACUAAUUAUCAUUGUAUGGUGUGAAUUCUCCAAUAUAUUUAAUGCAUGGGUCCAAGAACCAGAUAAACAUAGGAGUUAUUUCACUUGUCAUUAUAUCUCGUAACCCAUUGGAGGAAUCUGUGUGCACUAUCCCUGUAACUCUGAGAUUUGUGAGUUUAGAGAACCUGUUUCUCAGAAUAAGAAUGCUACUAUUAGGGGACAAAGAAAGAGUCCCAUUAAACUUUAAUCUAUGACUGUCAUCCAGUUACUUUGAGCUCCACUUGCCAACAGACCAGUGAUGAAGAAAGGAAUCACCAUUCUGGCAAGAGUCAUCGACUCUGAUCAUCAGGAGGUGAUAGAGCUGUAUUGCUCAGAGGAGUCAAGGAAAUAUAUGUGUUUUACUUAGUGAUCUGCUGAGUCAUUUGUUCCAACAAUAAAAGGAUGAGUGCAGCAA